GAUGAACGCUGGCGGCGUGCCUAAUACAUGCAAGUCGAACGGUAGCCUUCGGGCUAUAGUGGCGAACGGGUGAGUAACGCGUUGGUGACCUGCCCCGAAGCGGGGGAUACCAGUCCGAAAGGACUGCUAAUACCGCAUGUGCUGUGGAGGCUUAGAAGCUUCACAGGAAAAGCGCAAGUUGCUUUGGGAGGGACCUGCGUCCCAUCAGGUAGUUGGUGAGGUAGUGGCUCACCAAGCCGAUGACGGGUAGGGGACCUGAGAGGGUGGCCCCCCACAAUGGAACUGAAACACGGUCCAUACACCUACGGGUGGCAGCAGUAGGGAAUAUUGGUAAUGUGGGAAACCGCGAACCAGCAACGCCGCGUGGGCGAUGACGGCCUUCGGGUUGUAAAGCCCUUUUCGCCGGGACGAGGAAGGACGGUACCGGUGGAAGAAGCCUCGGCUAACUACGUGCCAGCAGCCGCGGUAAAACGUAGGAGGCGAGCGUUAUCCGGAUUUACUGGGUGUAAAGCGCAUGCAGGCGGCGGUGUAAGUUGGGUGUGAAAGCUCCUGGCUCAACUGGGAGAGGUCGCUCAAGACUGCACCGCUUGAGGAUGGUAGGGGAACGUGGAAUUCCGGGUGUAGUGGUGAAAUGCGUAGAUAUCCGGAGGAACACCAGUGGCGAAAGCGGCGUUCUGGACCAUCACUGACGCUCAGAUGCGACAGCUAGGGGAGCAAACGGGAUUAGAGACCCCGGUAGUCCUAGCCGUAAACGAUGUGUACUCGGCGCUGGGCGGGUAAAACCGCUCAGUGCCUUAGCUAACGCGCUAAGUACACCACCUGGGGACUACGGCCGCAAGGUUA
rnacentral:rRNA from 1 species